CCUACGGGUGGCAGCAGUCGAGAAUCAUUCACAAUGGGGGAAACCCUGAUGGUGCGACGCCGCGUGGGGGAAUGAAGGUCUUCGGAUUGUAAACCCCUGUCAUGUGGGAGCAAAUUAAAAAGAUAGUACCACAAGAGGAAGAGACGGCUAACUCUGUGCCAGCAGCCGCGGUAAUACAGAGGUCUCAAGCGUUGUUCGGAAUCACUGGGCGUAAAGCGUGCGUAGGCUGUUUCGUAAGUCGUGUGUGAAAGGCGCGGACUCAACCCGCGGACGGCACAUGAUACUGCGAGACUAGAGUAAUGGAGGGGGAACCGGAAUUCUCGGUGUAGCAGUGAAAUGCGUAGAUAUCGAGAGGAACACUCGGGGCGAAGGCGGGUUCCUGGACAUUAACUGACGCUGAGGCACGAAGGCCAGGGGAGCGAAAGGGAUUAGAUACCCGGGUAGUC
rnacentral:rRNA from 1 species